rnacentral:ncRNA from 1 species
GGGCAGAAGCUUAGAUAUUCUUAGAACUCUUUAUAAAAAAUCAGCCAAAUCCGACACGGAUGUCGGAUUAGAUGCAAGCUGCCACGGAUGGCUGCUUUGCAUCGUUGGCGACCGAUUACAUCAAAUUGCCUAAGAGUUCUUAGAAUUUAUUAGCUUCGUAC